AUUGAACGCUGGCGGCAGGCAUAACACAUGCAAGUCGAACGAGUGGCGGACGGGUGCGUAAUGUCUGGGAAACUGCCCGAUGGUGGGGGAUACCUACUGGAAACGGUAGCUAAUACCGCAUACCAUCGGAUGUGCCCAGAUGGGCGUAGCUAGUAGGUGGGGUAACGGCUCCCCUAGGCGACGAUCCCUAGCUGGUCUGUGAGGAUGACCAGCCACACUGGAACUGGGACAUGGGCCAGACUCCUACGGGGGGCAGCAGGGGGGAAUAUGGACCAAUGGGCGCAAGCCUGAUGCAGCCAUGCCGCGUGUAUGAAGAAGGCCUGCGGGUUGUAAAGUACUUUCAGCGGGGAGGCGUUAGUCGCAGAAGAAGCAACGGCGAACUCCGUGCCAGCAGCCGCGGUAAUUC
rnacentral:rRNA from 1 species